rnacentral:lncRNA from 1 species
AUUUGUCCUAUAUGAGACACCCAAUCACCAUUUUUCCCAUAUUGGAUUGUAGUAACAUGAAUAGGGUGAGGUGGAAGAACAUAAAAAUCGAACAGAUCGCUUCUGUAAAUUUUUCUUUUAUUCAUUCUCUGAAUAUAACACCUCCAGCAGCAAAUCCAUCCUCUAAAUUCCAUUACAAAUCGGUCCAAAAACACAAGCAGAUAACUAAAUCGCCACAUGAAAUGGGAAAAAAGAGCCAAGAAUUUACAUGUAUUGAGCCCAUCUGGGUAGGUUCAAUUCUAUCUCUGAAUUCAAAAUGAAAUAAUUUAACUAAUUUAACUAGUUUAACUAGUUGUGUUAUUAAGUAUGCAAUUCAAAAUCCUACCACAAGCAGACCUCAAACGAGGAUACAUCCUGCCAGUAUAAACACUUGACUCUCUCCACAUAUCCUCCAUCGUCUCCACAAAUAGAUUCAAGCUUCUGAUUGUAGGGAUGUAAAGAAUUAAAGGGACUGCAGAAAACGCCACUGUGAAGAACAAUUCAAACAUAUUAACCAAUUGGAACUGCAGAUUGUACAGUAUGAUCAAUCAAAGAAACGGGGCGUCGCCGAUUUUUCCUUAAUUUUUAGAUGACUGAGAAUUGACAGAAAGUGG